UACGAGGGGGGCGAGCGUUGUUCGGAAUUAUUGGGCGUAAAGGGUGCGUAGGCGGUUUGGUAAGUCUGAUGUGAAAUCUAUGGGCUCAACUCAUAGUCUGCAUCGGAAACUGCCGGGCUUGAGUGUGGGAGAGGUGAGUGGAAUUCCGAGUGUAGAGGUGAAAUUCGUAGAUAUUCGGAAGAACACCAGUGGCGAAGGCGACUCGCUGGACAGGUAUUGACGCUGAGGUGCGAAAGCGUGGGGAGCGAACAGG
rnacentral:rRNA from 1 species